rnacentral:rRNA from 1 species
UACGUAGGGGGCAAGCGUUGUCCGGAAUCAUUGGGCGUAAAGCGCGUGUAGGCGGCUCGGUAAGUCUGUUCUGAAAGUCCAGGGCUCAACCCUGGGAUGCGGAUGGAUACUGCCGAGCUCGAGUCCGGAAGAGGCGAGUGGAAUUCCUGGUGUAGCGGUGAAAUGCGCAGAUAUCAGGAGGAACACCAAUGGCGAAGGCAGCUCGCUGGGACGGUACUGACGCUGAGACGCGAAAGCGUGGGGAGCAAACAGG